GGUAAAAUGGCUGAUUAUAGGCGAUAAAUUGUAAAUUUAUUUAUGAAUAGUUUCUUUUACUA
rnacentral:tRNA from 1 species